rnacentral:rRNA from 1 species
UUAUAGCCUCUGGCUAUAGGAAAUUGUUAGUGGCAGRCGGGUGAGUAAUGCGUAGGAAUCUACCUAGURGUACGGAAUAGCCAUUAGAAAUGGUGGGUAAUACUGUAUAAUCCCCGAGGGGGAAAGAUUUAUCGCUAUUAGAUGAGCCUACGUUAGAUUAGCUAGUUGGUGAGGUAAUGGCUUACCAAGGCUAUGAUCUAUAGCUGGUCUGAGAGGACGAUCAGCCACACUGGARSUGAGAUACGGUCCAGACUCCUACGGGRGGCAGCAGUGGGGAAUAUUGGACAAUGGGCGAAAGCCUGAUCCAGCUAUGCCGCGUGAGGAAGAAGG